GCAGCAACCGCCCGUCGUCCCCCGCCGCUCACGCGCCGGUGUACCCUCCUCCCGCGGGCGACCGCGCCGCGUGCGCUGGCUCCUGCCCGCGCCGGCCCUGCGCCCUCCUCCCCGCACCCUGCAAAUUUGGGGCCGAGCCCACGGUGCGGGACGGGAAAGUAGUGCUGCGUUGGAAUGUGAAUGCGAUGGCCAUGAGGUAGAAGCUAUGUGUUGACGGUAACUGCUAAAGAAAGCAGAUAGAAGGAGCCUGGAUUCCUGACACCGUGGAUCACCAUGCCAGCCUUGGACUGACUGUCCCCUGACUUCAUUUACUUGAGAGAGCAAUAAACUUUUAUCUUGUUGCA